rnacentral:rRNA from 1 species
GACGAACGCUGGCGGCGUGCCUAAUACAUGCAAGUCGAACGCAGUGGGGACGGGGGAGUAACACGUGGGUAACCUCCCAUCAGAGGGGAUAACACUUGGAAACAGGUGCUAAACCGAUACUGAUGGAUGGACCCGCGGUGCAUUAGCUAGUUGGUGAGGUAACGGCUCACCAGGUCCACGAUGCAUAGCUGGUCUGAGAGGGUGAUCGGGCACACUGGGACUGAGACACGUCCCAGACUCCGACGUGAGGCAGCAGUAGGGAAUCUUCGGCAAUGGACUAAAGCCUGAUUCAGCCAUGCCGCGUGUAUGAAGAAGGUCUUAGGGUGGUAAAAUACUUGCAGCGGGGAAGCGUUAUCUGAAGAAAAAGCCCCGGCUAACUCCGUGCCAGCAGCCGCGGUAAUUC